rnacentral:rRNA from 1 species
UGUCCUUAGUACGAGAGGACCGGGAUGGACGGACCACUGGUGUAUCUGUUGGAGACCAACUCCAUGGCAGAGUAGCCAAGUCCGGACGGGAUAAACGCUGAAGGCAUCUAAGCGUGAAGCCCCCCUCAAGAUGAGAUAUCCCUCAAUGAUAAGACCCCUUGAAGACGACAAGGUAGAUAGGGCAUAGGUGUAAGUGCAGUAAUGUAUGCAGCUGAAUGUCACUAAUCGGUCGAAGGCUUUUUUAA